rnacentral:tRNA from 1 species
GCGGACGUGGCGAAACGGCAGACGCAGCAGACUUAAAAUCUGUUUCCCGCAUGGGAGUGGGGGUUCGAUUCCCCCCGUCCGCACCA